rnacentral:lncRNA from 1 species
GGGUGGGCGUGUGAAAACCCUCCUCCGAGCAGGAAAAACCUCCCCUAGCUGUCCCCACCACACACACGGGUGGGAAUGCCUCUGGGGCCUUCCCCCACCCCCUCCCCAGAGCCCAGGAGGGGGAUCCGACUCUAAGUUCCCCCAAGAGCUGGCUAAUCAGCUCCCCGACCCUCAUCAUAAGGGGUCCACGCACUCCAGCCCUGGUUUCAGCCUUUCCACUGAUCCAAGCCCCUACCUGCCCCAAAAGCAGGGUCCCCCACCCCCACCCCCCCGCGCCGGUGUCCGCCAGGCGGCGCCCUUCCAGGAGCAAAAAGGCUGCAGGCAGAUCGCGAGUAAAGCAGCGGCCCCCUCGGGAAAAGUGACCCCAGAUCGCCCCUCGGGAAAGGCCGGUUCUCCCGUGGCCGAAGACGGGACCGUAAUACAUGAGCAAACAGAAAAAAGAAACACAGCAAAACGGAGUUCUGCUAGAGAAAGCAUGCAUCAUAAAGACAGACUUGGAGAAGAAAAAAAAAAUCAAUAUUCAUGCCAGAAAGAUAAACCUCCAGAACAAGGUCCAUAUUUGUAUUAUGGCAGGAAGGGCAAGGUUAUUAAUAGCUUGAAAUGCUGAGGCUUGAAAUGUAGGACCUCCCUUUAUGGGUCCUAACGACUGUCCAUUUCUUGUUUGGGACUGGGCGGAACCCGGCCGCAUCAUCGGGUCUGCAGUGGCGUCUCAGAGCCCACGCAGUGGGGCAACUCUGAAAUGUGACAGUGGGUGCAGGGGCAGGGAGAGGAGGGGACAUUCUGGAACGGAGCCCACUCAUCGUGGGUCUUAGGUCCAGCGCUCAGGCAGGCUGACUGCAAAAGCCUGCUCCGGACGGUCAGUGGCCAGACUCAGACAAGAAGAGUCAGGCGCCCCCUGCUGGCUGACUCAGCUCUGCUUUCCCUUCACAGCCCAAGGAGCCACUGAAGAUCAGCACCUGGAAUCCAGAACCUCCUUCCGCAGCUGGCUCCCCUGACCAUGGGCAGAGCGCUUCGAAUCUCUGAACAUCAGGAGUUCCCGUCGUGGCUCAGUGGUUAACGACUCCGACUAGGAACCGUAAGGUUGCGAGUUCGAUCCCUAGCUUCGCUCAGUGGGUUAAGGAUCCAGCAUUGCUGUGAGCUGUGGUGUAGGCCUCAGACUCAGAUCCCGUGUUGCUGCACCUGUGGCCUAGGCUGGCAGCUAUGGCUCCCAUUAGACCCCUAGCCUAGAAACCUCCAUGUGCCUCUUUGUGCGGCCCUGGAAAAGACACACACACACACAAAAAAAGGAAUCUCUGAACACCAGUUUUCUCCAUCUGUAAAGGGAAUAACUCCUUUCUGUCCAUCCUAGUAAGAUAAGGAAAAUUGUAACUAUAUGAGGUAAUGGAUAUUAAUUAAACUUUAUAAUUUUUUAGCAGUAUAUACAAGUAUCAAAUCAUUAUGUUAUACAGUUUAAACGAAUAAGAUAUUAUAUGCUGAUUACAUCUCAAUAAAAAGUGGGAGGAAGAAAAUUGCUGUUAAUCU